GCUUAGAGAACAGGAAGUGGGAGCCACAUACCCCGAGCUGGAGGCUUGAGCCUGUGGGACCUAGGCUCGCCUCACUGCGGUUGGUGGAGGUGACAGAGGUUGGAGCUUGGCCAGCAUGGUAGAAAGGUGGCAGGGUCGACUCUAGAUUCUAGAGGGCAACCUCUGUUUGCUCGUGCUGGAGCGUGGCAGGCGCGCAAUGUUUCCUUGGGAAUCCUGAGCACAGCACGUCUGGCUUUUACCACCCAGAUGCUUCGAGCUAGGAGAUGGAAGAGUCAUCUGUUGCACGCUGGAGGCUGGAGCCUGCAGAUGGCAUGGUUCUGUGGCUCGCCUCGCUGCAGUUGGUGGCAGAGACAGAGACUGCAACUUGACCGGAGUGGUGGAGAGAGUAUUGUCAUCUGCAUGAGCAAAUCUGGUUCAUCACAUUUUUGCAACAGGAAAAGGAAGGGAGGAUCAUGUGGAUAAUGUUUUAAGGCCAAGAUUCACAACCAAAACAAAGUCUUCAUUGACUUUUGCCUUCAAGAACCUGCAGUGUUGAGCCCUUUUUUAUUUCUGGUCGGUGUGCAGUGGCAUGAUCUUGACUCACUGCAACUUCCACCUCCUGGGUUCAAGCCAUUCUCUUCCCUCAGCCUCCUCAGUAGCUGGAUUACAGGUGUGUAUCUCAAGAGCACUCCAGAACAAAGAUUCUGCCUGCAAUCCUCCACUUCAAGUUUCUUUAUUUGUAGGCACAGCUGCAUAAAGAAACCAGAUGGCCCAACAGCACCAGAGCUUAUCCACCCCUGACCAGAUAUCAGAAGGAGAAUUUCCCUGGCUAAUACCUCCAGUACAAUGCUGAAUAGAGUGGUUAAAGUGGAAAUUCUUGUCUUCUCAAACUUUCAGGUAAAGAAGCACAAGUCUGUCGCCAUUAAGUAUGAUGGAUGUUAG